rnacentral:lncRNA from 1 species
CGACGCUGCAGUCACGCGCUGUAGGGCGCGAGCGAUGCGGAGCGGCGCUUCAGUCAUUCACCCGCACGAUCCGUCCUCGCGCUCACCGGGCAACUACGGCCAAGUCAUGGCAGAGAGGAGCCGAGGAAAGCGGAGGAAACAGGCGAACCCGCGGAGAAACCAAGGUGAGCCGGAGCGCUGUCUGGGCUCUGAAGGCGAGGAUGAGGGCAGCGUUUGGGGGAUGGAGGUUCUGGACAGCAGAGAUGCUCAGGAUAAAGUCAGUCUGACGCCCAGCGAGGGCACGGAGCCCGGCAGUCCCGUACCGUGUGCGGAGAGCUGGGCCGACACCGAAACCACACCGCUGAAAAUCACAGCCGCAGACCCUGAGCACUGUCAGACUGAUGCUCGUGUGAUGGACGGCCCGAUUCACGCACAACAGCGCAACGGAUCCGUGAACUCGUACCAUUUAGACUGCGCUCAGGGCGACAUGUCGCCCGUCUGCUGGUCACCAGGAGAAUACGAGUCACCCGAGGGCAAAGGUCAACUAGUAGUGCUUGUCAUGAAAUUCAAUUUUUAAUU